ACAAAUUACUCACCUCCUCCUCAUUCAAAUCCAAUUGGGAAUGUUUAACUGAACCAUAACGUUGUAUGACACCUGAACCCGACAAAUCCUGACGUGAUCUGGCAUAUUCGGUUUGAUUUUUCAAAAUAUUACCUGAUACAAAAUAUCCGGCCUAUACAUGGUACCGCUGCCCGACUUUUCACGAUGAUGCUCCUUCAAUUGGGCCAAAUGCGGUUGACUCAUGGCCGAUUUGAUAAUAUCUUCAUUGCUGGUGCAUUUUGAGACUACGGAAAUUUCCAUUUUUUGAUUGACAGCACCAUUGGAACCAUUUAACUACAACAACAACAAAAAUGUAUGUAUUUUAUUUUUAUAAAAAAUAAAUGUCUUAUAUUUCCCGCUUA